rnacentral:rRNA from 1 species
GCUAAGAAUCUUCCGCAAUGGGGGAAACCCUGACGGAGCGACGCCGCGUGGGCGAUGAAGGCCGGAAGGUUGUAAAGCCCUUUUCUUGGCGAAGAAUAAGGCUGGGGAUGGACUACCCAGCUGAUGACGUUAGCCGAGGAAUAAGCCCCGGCCAAUUACGUGCCAGCAGCCGCGGUAACACGUAUGGGGCGAGCGUUGUUCGGAGUUAUUGGGCGUAAAGGGCGUGUAGGCGGCUUUCGCAAGCUUGGUGUUAAAGGUUUCGGCCUAACCGGAACAGUGCGCUGAGGACUGCGGAGCUGGAGUCUAGGAGGGGGAGCUGGAAUUCCAGGUGUAGGGGUGAAAUCUGUAGAUAUCUGGAAGAACACCGGUGGCGAAGGCGAGCUCCUGGCCAUAGACUGACGCUGAGGCGCGAAAGCGUGGGGAGCAAACAGGAUUAGAUACCCGAGUAGUCC